GCACGAUGGGCUGAAAGUGUAGCAAGGAGAAUUAACUUCAACGGAGGACCCUCAGUACGGUGAACACAACUACAGAUAGACUCAAUUUCCAAAAACCCUCUGCCUAGGAAGUUGUCAGGCUCUUGUAGGCUACAAAAUAGGCAGAGCAGUACAUAUCCUUCAUUGCAGUGGAGAACUGUGGCUUGGAGUGGAAUGGGAAGUACACAAAAUACUCAAGCAAAUUCCAUUCCAAAAAGUUUGAAUGCUCAAUUGUCCUUUGUUUAUUGUGACACAUUUCCUUUUUCCCCCCACUAGCUGAUGCGGCCAUCUGCAUUCUGAAAUGGGCCCAAUGAAGAACACCACAAUAAUAGAAAUACCGACCUGUCCCAUUUGAACACAGUACAAAAAAUAUUGACCAUCAAUUGUGUUUUUUGGAUUACAUUCCAAGCAAGGAUUUUCUGCAUUAUUAUCACACAUACUGUCAGUGGUAACUGUGAUUUUUACCAUUCAUUUGCUGUUCUUUUACCCUCACCCCCCACCACCCAGACUGCAAAAUCCACCUGUGUGAGGUGGCUCAUGGUCCCACUGGUUGGGUCGGUUUCUGUCAAGCUGCUUCAAGCCUGUUUGAUGGCUUUUGGUGCUCAAUAAACUCAAAAGGAACAUUUAUUUGCA